UGCACAAACCUAUCUCAUUUCUAGCCAAAUACAUAUUUUAGUAACUUACCUCUUAGAAAUCAUAUGUGUGUGCGUAUGCAUAAAAUAGAUAGAUAGAUAGAUAAUAGACAGAUAUGCAUAUACAUGUGUAUGCAUGUAGGUGCAUGUUUAUACAUGCAUAUGGAUCUCUGUGUGUAUGAAUGUAUGAAUGCUAUGUAUGAGCCAUGUGAUGACAAGUUACUUUUUGGUUGCACAUGAAUCUGACCCCAAAGACGAGACUAAAUAUGGUCCAAAACAAUAAGGUGCUUCAAUUGUUUCUCUUCCAACAUGCUCCUCCAAGUAGACUUUCGAUGGCCAUACAAUUGUCUCUUUUAACAUUAGGCUCACCUUCAUGAACCCAAUCUAAUUUCAAUUGAUGCUGCCAUAAAUUUCUAGCAUUAAACCUUUGUUGACAAUUUAUCC
rnacentral:lncRNA from 1 species